UGUCAACCUCUUUUAAGCUGCCAGUCAAGGCUCCUUGUGGCGCUGAUACCAGAGAACAACAUGACCUUUGAACAACCUUUGAAUGCCAUGCAAAGAGAGGUCCUGGUGGCUGUUGGGAGUGGUGCUGUUAAUGGCUGCCAGUGCCACCCAAGAACACAGUAAAGGAAAGGCGAUUGUGCUUUAACACGGAGAUGGCAUCCAGGAAUCGGAUGAAAGACCAGCGUCCAUUGUGAAAGAUGUGACGCUGGCAAGAAAUAUUGGAGCUGUGACGACAACCGCGAUCGGCGAGCGACCAAGGGAGGACGUUACAAG